UACCUGCAGCUCGAGUGGUGAUCGUUAUUAUUGGGCCUAAAACGUCCGUAGCCGGUCUUAUAAAUGCCUGGGUAAAUCGUAUGGCUUAACCAUACGAAUUCCGGGUAGACUGUUUGACUUGAGACCGGGAGAAGCUAGAGGUACUCCUUGGGUAGAGGUGAAAUUCUGUAAUCCUAGGGGGACCACCUGUGGCGAAGGCGUCUAGCUAGAACGGGUCUGACGGUGAGGGACGAAGCCCUGGGGCGCAAACGGGAUUAGAUACCCCGGUAGUCCAGGGUGUAAACGCUGCUUGCUUGAUGUUAGUCUGGCUCCGAGCCAGAUUAGUGUCGGAGAGAAGUUGUAAGCAAGCUGCCUGGGAAGUACGGCCGCAAGACUGAAAACUUAAAGGAAUUGGGUGGGGGAGCACAGCAACGGGUGGAGCGUGCGGUUU
rnacentral:rRNA from 1 species